CCUACGGGGGGCUGCAGUGGGGAAUAUUGCACAGUGGGCGCAAGCCUGAUGCAGCCAUGCCGCGUGUGUGAAGAAGGCCUUCGGGUUGUAAAGCACUUUCAGCGGGGAGGAAGGCGUUAAGGUUAAUAACCUUGUCGAUUGACGUUACCCGCAGAAGAAGCACCGGCUAACUCCGUGCCAGCAGCCGCGGUAAUACGGAGGGUGCAAGCGUUAAUCGGAAUUACUGGGCGUAAAGCGCACGCAGGCGGUCUGUCAAGUCGGAUGUGAAAUCCCCGGGCUCAACCUGGGAACUGCAUUCGAAACUGGCAGGCUAGAGUCUUGUAGAGGGGGGUAGAAUGCCAGGUGUAGCGGUGAAAUGCGUAGAGAUCUGGAGGAAUACCGGUGGCGAAGGCGGCCCCCUGGACAAAGACUGACGCUCAGGUGCGAAAGCGUGGGGAGCAAACAGGAUUAGAUACCCUAGUAGUC
rnacentral:rRNA from 1 species